rnacentral:rRNA from 1 species
CAGCCGCCGCGGUAAUACGUAGGUGGCAAGCGUUGUCCGGAAUUAUUGGGCGUAAAGGGCUCGCAGGCGGUUUCUUAAGUCUGAUGUGAAAGCCCCCGGCUCAACGGGGGAGGGUCAUUGGAAACUGGGAAACUUGAGUGCAGAAGAGGAGAGUGGAAUUCCACGUGCAGCGGUGAAAUGCGUAGAGAUGUAGAGGAACACCAGUGGCGAAGGCGACUCUCUGGUCUGUAACUGACGCUGAGGAGCGAAAGCGUGGGGAGCGAACAGGAUUAGAUACCCGCGUAGUCCCUGUCUCUUAUAC